rnacentral:lncRNA from 1 species
UCUCACAUUCAAAUCUAAUUUGGUUUUGAUAAAAGAAAGGUUUUAAAAUUAGAUUUCAAAAUAUUCUUUAUCAAGAGAAUUUGUUCUUAUCCAAAUCAACCUCUCCAUGCCAACUUAUUUUUUUCUCCUUAUAUAUGCGACAUUUUGAGAAAAUUUUUUAUAGAAAAUUAGAAUUGAUUUACCAUGAAAAAAAUAUGGGAAGGAGAGUCCCAUAUGUUUUUUGGCAUGUUUUGGAUGUGGAAUUGUGAAGGGAGGCGACAUCUUGUAGAGUCCAAGAUCCUUAGGACUCUUCACCCAACUUAUUACAUGCCUAUAAAA